rnacentral:rRNA from 1 species
UACGUAGGGGGCAAGCGUUGUCCGGAAUCAUUGGGCGUAAAGAGCGUGUAGGCGGCCAGAUAAGUCCGCUGUGAAAACUCGAGGCUCAACUUCGAGCUGUCGGUGGAAACUAUUUGGCUAGAGUCCGGAAGAGGAGAGUGGAAUUCCUGGUGUAGCGGUGAAAUGCGCAGAUAUCAGGAAGAACACCCGUGGCGAAGGCGGCUCUCUGGUACGGAACGCGCUGAGGCGCGAAAGCCAGGGGAGCAAACGGG